rnacentral:tRNA from 1 species
GUCCAUGUAGCUUAAAACAAAGCAUAACACUGAAGAUGUUAAGACGGCUGCUAAAAGCACCCACGGACA